UGUUGGUUGUCCAAGUUUAAGGUGGUAGGCUGAAAUCUUAGGUAAAUCCGGGGUUUCAAGGCCGAGAGCUGAUGACGAGUCGUCUUUUAGAUGACGAAGUGGUUGAUGCCAUGCUUCCAAGGAAAGCUUCUAAGCUUCAGGUAACCAGGAACCGUACCCCAAACCGACACAGGUGGUCGGGUAGAGAAUACCAAGGCGCUUGAGAGAACUCGGGUGAAGGAACUAGGCAAAAUGGCACCGUAACUUCGGGAGAAGGUGCGCCGGCUAGGGUGAAGGAUUUACUCCGUAAGCUCUGGCUGGUCGAAGAUACCAGGCCGCUGCGACUGUUUAUUAAAAACACAGCACUCUGCAAACACGAAAGUGGACGUAUAGGGUGUGACGCCUCCCCGGUGCCGGAAGGUUAAUUGAUGGGGUUAGCGCAAGCGAAGCUCUUGAUCGAAGCCCCGGUAAACGGCGGCCGUAACGAUAACGGUCCUAAGGUAGCGAAAUUCCUUGUCGGGUAAGUUCCGACCUGCACGAAUGGCGUAACGAUGGCGGCGCUGUCUCCACCCGAGACUCAGCGAAAUUGAAAUCGCUGUGAAGAUGCAGUGUAUCCGCGGCUAGACGGAAAGACCCCGUGAACCUUUACUGUAGCUUUGCACUGGACUUUGAGCCUGCUUGUGUAGGAUAGGUGGGAGGCUUUGAAGCGUGGACGCCAGUUCGCGUGGAGCCAUCCUUGAAAUACCACCCUGGCAUGCUUGAGGUUCUAACUCUGGUCCGUAAUCCGGAUCGAGGACAGUGUAUGGUGGGCAGUUUGACUGGGGCGGUCUCCUCCUAAAGAGUAACGGAGGAGUACGAAGGUGCGCUCAGACCGGUCGGAAAUCGGUCGCAGAGUAUAAAGGCAAAAGCGCGCUUGACUGCGAGACAGACACGUCGAGCAGGUACGAAAGUAGGUCUUAGUGAUCCGGUGGUUCUGUAUGGAAGGGCCAUCGCUCAACGGAUAAAAGGUACUCCGGGGAUAACAGGCUGAUACCGCCCAAGAGUUCAUAUCGACGGCGGUGUUUGGCACCUCGAUGUCGGCUCAUCACAUCCUGGGGCUGAAGCCGGUCCCAAGGGUAUGGCUGUUCGCCAUUUAAAGUGGUACGCGAGCUGGGUUUAGAACGUCGUGAGACAGUUCGGUCCCUAUCUGCCGUGGACGUUUGAGAUUUGAGAGGGGCUGCUCCUAGUACGAGAGGACCGGAGUGGACGAACCUCUGGUGUUCCGGUUGUCACGCCAGUGGCAUUGCCGGGUAGCUAUGUUCGGAAAAGAUAACCGCUGAAAGCAUCUAAGCGGGAAACUUGCCUCAAGAUGAGAUCUCACUGGGAACUUGAUUCCCCUGAAGGGCCGUCGAAGACUACGACGUUGAUAGGCUGGGUGUGUAAGCGUUGUGAGGCGUUGAGCUAACCAGUACUAAUUGCCCGUGAGGCUUGAUC
rnacentral:rRNA from 1 species